GUCCUCGCCGGCCUUGAGCUUUGCGUUCUCCUUGCCAGGGAGCACGCGGAAAGUGUGGGCACCGAAGUAGUCACGCUGUGCCUGGAGAACGUUAGCAGGGACGAUCUCGCUGCGGUAACCGUCGAAGAACGCGAGCGCGGUGGAGAACGCAGGCGUGGGGAUACCCCAGAGAACGGCCUGUGCAACGAUGCGGCGCCAGCCAGGCUGCGCCUUGUGGACGGCCUUGUUGAAGAAGUCGUCGAAGAGGAGAGACUCGAGCUUGUCGUUCUUCUGGUACGCAGCAGUGAUAUCGCCAAGGAAGACAGACUUGAUAAUACAUCCGCCACGCCACAUGCGCGCAAUACCAGCAUAGUUGAGGUUCCAAUUGAGCUCCUUGGCGGUCUCGCGCAUAAGCAUGAAGCCCUGGGUGUAGGAGAUGAUCUUGGAGGCGUAGAGCGCCUGCUCAAGGUCAUCGAUGAACUGCU
rnacentral:misc_RNA from 1 species